rnacentral:rRNA from 1 species
GCUUAACACAUGCAAGUCGAGCGAUGAAGCUUCUCGGAAGUGGAUUAGCGGCGGACGGGUGAGUAACACGUGGGUAACCUGCCUCAUAGAGGGGAAUAGCCUUCCGAAAGGAAGAUUAAUACCGCAUAAGAUUGUAAUAUCGCAUGAUAUAGCAAUUAAAGGAGCAAUCCGCUAUGAGAUGGACCCGCGUCGCAUUAGCUAGUUGGUGAGGUAACGGCUCACCAAGGCGACGAUGCGUAGCCGACCUGAGAGGGUGAUCGGCCACAUUGGGACUGAGACACGGCCCAGACUCCUACGGGAGGCAGCAGUGGGAAUAUUGCACAAUGGGGGAAACCCUGAUGCAAGCAACGCCGCGUGAGUGAUGACGGUCUUCGGAUUGUAAAGCUCUGUCUUCAGGGACGAUAAUGACGGUACCUGAGGAGGAACGCCACGCUAACUACGUGCCAGCCGCGGC